AUUUCAGGAACCAUCGGCCGGGCACUCAUCUCCCGCGUGUGCUGGAAAAAACAAGUCGCGCUACUCCAUCUGCCAGACGUCUAGUGGUGAACUGGACAGGUACGCCAGUGAAGCAGCUGCAACCACAGUUAACAAGAUGGCGUCCGUGGCAGAAAAUUCAACCACUAGACGUGGAGUGAUGCCCGGCAUUGAGGAGACAUCUGCAUCUGUAGACCUAACAUCGGAGCCGCCUUCCGAGCUAAUGGGGAUCUUUCAAAGGUCCUAUCACGAGUCGUCUUUCGGUGAAAGCUCGACGCAAGGUGGUUGGGGCCACAGAGUACCGCCAGACCCGGCUGAUGAAGACACCUCAAUCUCCUUCCAGAGCUUUGAUGUGGAGGCUCAGGUUGCGGCCGCGGAACAACAGAAUGCCGGCAGCAGCUAGCCGUUUUUUUUUUUUGCACGUACCACACCGGUUCGAACAACCACUACAAAACGAGUUUAAUGUGGUAGUGGUUUAUUUGGCACUAGUCUACGCUGACGUAGCGCUUAGAACAAAAUUGACGUUCCGAAGGCAACGUUUACUUGCCCAACACAAUUUGUGGCUUAAGCAAGUUCGUUUGACUCAAAAAUAAAAUAAACAACUCAGACUGUUUGGAUAUGAGGUAAACCUUUGUUCGAUCCUAAUGGCACAGUUUUAUAGUUGUCAGUGCACAAGAUGCUAAAAGGUGUUUCUAUUUAGCAUGCUUUGAAAUUCACGAAAUUGUUGACUUUCGGCUGCAUCGUAUUAAAAAAAGUGUUUUUAACUGCUUCAUAAA